rnacentral:rRNA from 1 species
GACGAACGCUGGCGGCGUGCUUAACACAUGCAAGCCGAACGAUGAAGCCUUCGGGUGGAUUAGUGGCGAACGGGUGAGUAACACGUGGGUAAUCUGCCCUGCACUCUGGGAUAAGCCUUGGAAACGGGGUCUAAUACCGGAUAUCACACUUCUAGGCAUCUAGUGGUGUUGAAAGUUUUGGCGGUGCAGGAUGAACCCGCGGCCUAUCAGCUUGUUGGUGGGGUAAUGGCCUACCAAGGCGACGACGGGUAGCCGGCCUGAGAGGGUGACCGGCCACACUGGGACUGAGACACGGCCCAGACUCCUACGGGAGGCAGCAGUGGGGAAUAUUGCACAAUGGGCGAAAGCCUGAUGCAGCGACGCCGCGUGA